UGGGGAAUCUUGCGCAAUGGACGAAAGUCUGACGCAGCGACGCCGCGUGGGUGAAGAAGGCCUUCGGGUUGUAAAGCCCUGUCGAGUGGGAAAAAUGGUAUCGAUAAUAAUACGAUCGAUAAUUGAUGGUACCACUAGAGGAAGCACCGGCUAACUCCGUGCCAGCAGCCGCGGUAAUACGGAGGGUGCAAGCGUUGUUCGGAAUUAUUGGGCGUAAAGGGCAAGUAGGUGGUCUUGUUAGUCUACUGUGAAAUCCCUGGGCUUAACCCAGGACGUGCGGUGGAUACUGCAAGACUAGAGUACCGGAGGGGUGCGUGGAAUUCCUGGUGUAGCGGUGAAAUGCGUAGAUAUCAGGAGGAACACCAGAGGCGAAAGCGGCGCACUGGACGGUAACUGACACUCAAUUGCGAAAGCGUGGGGAGCAAACAGGAUUAGAUACCCCGGUAGUCC
rnacentral:rRNA from 1 species